rnacentral:lncRNA from 1 species
UCUUUUGGGCAGCUAGGUGGCGCCAUAGUGCGCAGAACGCUGACCCUCCCACCAGAGGUACUGAUCCUCCCAGCUAGGUGGCGCCAUUGUGCACAGAACGCUGACCCUCCCACCAGACUUGUAAGUCCUUCCACACACACACAUCCACACCCUGUGUCUUAUUAAGUACCUACUAUCAGGAAGUAGGUGCGAGGCUCUGAGAGGACAAAGUCAGCAACAACACAGUCCGUAUCUCUUGGAGUUUGUAAUCUUUUGGAAAGGACAAAACCAUCUGCGUCCAUAACUGUAGUAUUAAGAGAGAGCUCCAGCCAUAGAGCUGUGAGAAGGGGAAAGGGAACUCUUCUCGGAGGAGACGGUAUUUCACGUGACCCGGAAGGGCGGGAGAAGCCGUAGAGUUAGACAUGGCGUCAGACUGAGCAGGAUCUUGAAUGCCAGGAUCGGGAAGAGAAAAGUAAAAAGAUUUAUUUAGUACAUUAAGAAAUACUAAGGAGAAAUCAAGAUCUGGGUCCAUGGACACUUCAGAAAGAAUCUUCUACUCAAUCAGAUCCAUAGAAUCUGAGAGGGUUGAAGGGAACUUGGAUGGCAUCUCUUCCCCAACCCCUCUUCAAUGGUGCAUGUAGAAAAGCUUGCCACUUUUGGAGACAGACUUAAUUGUUAGGAAGAUUUAGGUCAUAGCACCUUGGCAAGAUACAACCAGCUUCUGUUCUCACUAUAGGACUAAUCUAUAGAAAUAAUGACCUUUUGUCAUUCAGAACUAUUCUGUGGAAUGUUAGCAGUGGAAGAAAUCUCCAAGAUGGACCAGCCCAACAUCUUCAUUUGACAGGAAAGGACAGAAGAAAAAGAGAGAAAGAAGGAAAAAGAAAGGAAGGAAGGAAGGAGAUAGAAAUAGAGAAGAAAACAGAAAGAAAAGAAAGAAAAACAGAAAGAAAAGCAGAAAGAAAAGCAGGAAGAAAAGAAAGAAAAACAGAAAGAAAAGAAAGAAAAACAGAAAAAGAAAGAAAAACAGAAAGAAAAGAAAGAAAAACAGAAAGAGAAAGAAAAACAGAAAGAAGAGAAAGAAAAACAGAAACAAAAGAAAGACAAACAGAAAGAAAGGACAAAAGAAAGAAAAAGAAAAAGGAAGGAAGGAAGGAAGGAAGGAAGAAAAUACUAGUUUACUUUGUCUUAGAAUUACAACUUCCUUUCCCUAUCUCCAGUAUUAAAAGGACUCUCAAAAAACACCUGUCACUGUUGAUAAUAUUCUUUGUUUUAGGCCUCUACCAAGUCAGGGCAAUGUCCUUAAUUAUAAUCAGUAUCAUUCAUUCAAUCAAUCAAUCAAUACACAUUUAAAUACCUUUUUUUUUCAGGCAAUGUGCUAAACCCUGGGGAUACAAGAAGACAAUGCAUGCCAUCAAGGAGUUGAUAUCUAUCUAUCUAUCUAUCUAUCUAUCUAUCUAUCUAUCUAUCUAUCUGUCUGUCUGUCUGUCUGUCUGUCUGUCUAGCAAGCUACAUACAGAAUAGGAAUCAACCAAAAUAGGGAAGGCACUGGAAUUAAGAGAGGUUGGGAAAGACUUUCCAUAUAUAGGAGAUUAGGAGAUGAAAUUUUAGUUGGGACUUAAAGGAAGCCAGGAAAAUCAGGACAUAGAGCAGAAGAGGGAGGAUAUUCCAGGCCCAGUCAGAGAAAAUUCUCAUAGCUGAGAGAUGGAAUGUCUCAUUGGUGAAACAUCAAUUAAUUAUCCUUAUUAUUACUCAUAAUUA